AGAGCCCCGCCUGUCCUCGGCCUACCGCGGCGAGCAGGCAUUCCGGGUCAGACCGGCGCGGGGCGCUGCGGCCCAACUCCUUAGUAGGACGACGUGACUCGAGGGGCCGGAGGACGGAGGUGGGAGCCCGGGCUAGAGGGUGGAGGCUGGGGAGGUUGCCUGGUCACUCUGGCGCUCCGCUGCCGGGGGCAUCCUCCGGCCCAGCAAAGGUGCAGCCUGGGAAGAAGGCGUCAGCACCACCCAGAGAAGAGGAGAGGGGACUUGGCACGCCUCAGGAAGGAAAAAAGGAAGGCUCUCGGGACCACCCAAUAAGCAACCGGGAAACCACAUACCAUGGACAGUGCUCGGGGAAUUUCGUAAGGGCUCCUCCUCAUCCCUGGAGGUUCCAGGGAUCUGGCAGAGAAAGAAGCCCAGUCUCACAGCAAUGACUCCUGAACAUCCUUUGCAAACACUAUUUAGGACAGAUGGACUGAAGUAGGCCCUGGGGAGAGUUGGGGGCAUUUCCGGAGGCCAGACCAAAGGUGAUCUCCAGGAGAUUUGGAUGUUAGUGCAGGAUAGCUCAGAGCCAAGUGGCAGAUAAGUCUUUGGGAGCCAGAAGGGCUCUUUCUUCUCUAAGGAACAAGUGUAGACCUAUAGGGGCAAGAACCUGUGGCAACCCUGGGAGAGGUCUGCAGAUUCAGGAGGGAACAUCCCAAAACUCAGCAGAGGAGGAGAGGGAGCUUUUGUUGGUCACCUGGAACCACUACCAAUCCAUGUUCAUGUCAAAUUAAAUGAUCACUUUGAAGUUUUUCAGCCUACCAAAAUCAUGUGAAUUUGGUCUGCAAAACCAGACGACUGCCUGCUUGCAGUUAAGAAUUCUCAGCGGGAGGCCGGGCGCAGUGGCUCAUGCCACCAGCACUUUGGGAGGCUGAGGUGGGUGGAUCACGAGGUCAGGAGUUCGAGACCAGCCUGGCUAACACGGUGAAACCCUGUCUCUACUAAAAAUACAAAAGUUAGCCUGGUGUGGUGGCGGGCACCUGUAGUCCCGGCUACUUGGGAAGCUGAGGCAGGAGAAUCUCUUGGACCUGGAAGGUGGAGGUUGCAGUGAGCUGAGAUCGCGCCAUUGCACUCCAGCCUGGGCAACAGAGCGAGACUCUGUCUCAAAAAAAAAAAAAAAAGAAGAAGAAGAAAAAAAAGAAUUCUCAGGGGGAGAUUAUUCCCCUUUCUUAGUACCAAGGUUGGAUGUAGGCAGUUUUCUUUGUAGUCCCCUGGUUUGAGGGAGAGAGGUUAGGUCAGACAGGGGCAGGUUUCUUUCUAAUUCACCUUCACA
rnacentral:lncRNA from 1 species